CUCCUAAAAGGUAACGGAGGCGCUCAAAGGUUCCCUCAGAAUGGUUGGAAAUCAUUCAUAGAGUGUAAAGGCAUAAGGGAGCUUGACUGCGAGACCUACAAGUCGAGCAGGGUCGAAAGACGGACUUAGUGAUCCGGUGGUUCCGCAUGGAAGGGCCAUCGCUCAACGGAUAAAAGCUACCCCGGGGAUAACAGGCUUAUCUCCCCCAAGAGUUCACAUCGACGGGGAGGUUUGGCACCUCGAUGUCGGCUCAUCGCAUCCUGGGGCUGUAGUCGGUCCCAAGGGUUGGGCUGUUCGCCCAUUAAAGCGGUACGCGAGCUGGGUUCAGAACGUCGUGAGACAGUUCGGUCCCUAUCCGUCGUGGGCGUAGGAA
rnacentral:rRNA from 1 species